rnacentral:rRNA from 1 species
UACGGGGGGAGCAAGCGUUGUUCGGAUUUACUGGGCGUAAAGGGCGCGUAGGCGGCCACCGCAAGUCGGUUGUGAAAUCUCUGGGCUUAACCCAGAAAGGUCAACCGAUACUGCGGGGCUAGAGUGCAGAAGGGGCAACUGGAAUUCUCGGUGGUAGCGGUGAAAUGCGUAGAUAUCGAGAGGAACACCUGCGGCGAAGGCGGGUGCUGGGCUGACACUGACGCUGAGGCGCGAAAGCUAGGGAGCGAACGGG